GAUGAACGCUGGCGGCGUGCCUAAUACAUGCCAGUCGAGCGAACAGACGAGAGUGCUUGCACUCUCUGACGUUAGCGGCGGACGGGUGAGUAACACGUGGGUAACCUACCUAUAAGACUGGGAUAACUUCGGGAAACCGGAGCUAAUACCGGAUAAUAUUUAGCUUCGCAUGAAGCAAUAGUGAAAGACGGUUCUGCUGUCACUUAUAGAUGGACCCGCGGUGUAUUAGCUAGUUGGUGAGGUAACGGCUCACCAAGGCAACGAUACAUAGCCGACCUGAGAGGGUGAUCGGCCACACUGGGACUGAGACACGGCCCAGACUCCUACGGGAGGCAGCAGUAGGGAAUCUUCCGCAAUGGACGAAAGUCUGACGGAGCAAUGCCGCGUGAGUGAAGAAGGUUUUCGGAUCGUAAAACUCUGUUGUAAGGGAAGAACAAGUAUGUUAGUAACUGAACGUACCUUGACGGUACCUUACCAGAAAGCCACGGCUAACUACGUG
rnacentral:rRNA from 1 species